rnacentral:rRNA from 1 species
ACUGAGUACAGCGGCGGACGGGUGAGUAACGCGUAGGAAUCUACCCAGUAGUGGGGGACAACUUAGGGAAACUUAAGCUAAUACCGCAUACGCCCUAAGGGGGAAAGCGGGGGAUCUUCGGACCUCGCGCUAUUGGAUGAGCCCAAGUCAGAUUAGCUAGUUGGUGAGGUAAUGGCUCACCAAGGCGACGAUCUGUAGCUGGUCUGAGAGGAUGAUCAGCCACACUGGGACUGAGACACGGCCCAGACUCC